rnacentral:rRNA from 1 species
GAUAAACGCUGGCGGCGCACAUAAGACAUGCAAGUCGAACGGAUUUAACCGAAAGGUUUACUUUUGGAGCGGUUAGUGGCGGACUGGUGAGUAACACGUAAGCAACCUGCCUACCAGAGGGGAACAACAGUUAGAAAUGACUGCUAAUACCGCAUAUGCCUAAGUACCACAUGGUACAAUAGGGAAAGGAGCAAUCCGCUGAUAGAUGGGCUUGCGUCCGAUUAGAUAGUUGGUGAGGUAACGGCCCACCAAGGCUGCGAUCGGUAGCCGGACUGAGAGGUUGAACGGCCACAUUGGGACUGAGACACGGCCCAG